GGAGAGGUGGCCGAGCUGGCUGAAGGCGGCGCCCUGCUAAGGCGUUGUACCGGGAUAACCGGUACCGCGGGUUCGAAUCCCGCCCUCUCCG
rnacentral:tRNA from 1 species